AUUGAACGCUGGCGGCAGGCCUAACACAUGCAAGUCGAACGAGUGGCGGACGGGUGAGUAAUGUGUGGGAAACUGCCUGAUGGAGGGGGAUAACUACUGGAAACGGUAGCUAAUACCGCAUACCAUCAGAUGUGCCCAGAUGGGAUGAGCUGGUGGGUGGGGUAACGGCUCACCAAGGAGACGAUCCCUAGCUGGUCUGAGAGGAUGACCGGCCACACUGGAACUGAGCCACGGGCCAGACUCCUACGGGAGGCAGCAGUGGGGAAUAUUGCACAAUGGGCGCAAGCCUGAUGCAGCCAUGCCGCGUGUAUGAAGAAGGCCUUCGGAUUGUAAAGUACUUUCAGCGGGGAGGCGUUACCCGCAGAAGAAGCACCGGCUAACUCCGUGCCAGCAGCCGCGGUAAUAC
rnacentral:rRNA from 1 species